CAGAGGCAUUCCCUAGUAGCGGCGAGCGAGCGGGAAGAGCUCAAAUUUAUAAUCUGGCACCUUCGGUGUCCGAGUUGUAAUCUCUAGAAAUGUUUUCCGCGUUGGACCGCACACAAGUCUGUUGGAAUACAGCGGCAUAGUGGUGAGACCCCCGUAUAUGGUGCGGACGCCCAGCGCUUUGUGAUACAUUUUCGAAGAGUCGAGUUGUUUGGGAAUGCAGCUCAAAUUGGGUGGUAAAUUCCAUCUAAAGCUAAAUAUUGGCGAGAGACCGAUAGCGAACAAGUACCGUGAGGGAAAGAUGAAAAGCACUUUGGAAAGAGAGUUAACAGUACGUGAAAUUGUUGGAAGGGAAACGCUUGAAGUCAGACUUGCUUGCCGAGCAAUCGGUUUGCAGGCCAGCAUCAGUUUUCCGGGAUGGAUAAUGGUAGAGAGAAGGUAGCAGUUUCGGCUGUGUUAUAGCUCUCUGCUGGAUACAUCUUGGGGGACUGAGGAACGCAGUGUGCCUUUGGCGGGGGUUUCGACCUCUUCACACUUAGGAUGCUGGUGGAAUGGCUUUAAACGACCCGUCUUGAAACCACCGGACCCCAAAAC
rnacentral:rRNA from 1 species